UAAGUUAGAAAGGGCGCACGGUGGAUGCCUUGACACUAGGAGUCGAUGAAGGACGGGACUAACGCCGAUAUGCUUCGGGGAGCUGUAAGUAAGCUUUGAUCCGAAGAUUUCCGAAUGGGGAAACCCACCAUACGUAAUGGUAUGGUAUCCUUAUCUGAAUACAUAGGGUAAGGAAGACAGACCCAGGGAACUGAAACAUCUAAGUACCUGGAGGAAGAGAAAGCAAAUGCGAUUUCCUGAGUAGCGGCGAGCGAAACGGAACAUAGCCCAAACCAAGAGGCUUGCCUCUUGGGGUUGUAGGACAUUCUAUACGGAGUUACAAAGGAACGAGGUAGACGAAGCGACCUGGAAAGGUCCGUCGUAGAGGGUAACAACCCCGUAGUCGAAACUUCGUUCUCUCUUGAAUGUAUCCUGAGUACGGCGGAACACGUGAAAUUCCGUCGGAAUCUGGGAGGACCAUCUCCCAAGGCUAAAUACUCCCUAGUGAUCGAUAGUGAACCAGUACCGUGAGGGAAAGGUGAAAAGCACCCCGGAAGGGGAGUGAAAGAGAUCCUGAAACCGUGUGCCUACAAAUAGUCAGAGCCCGUUAACGGGUGAUGGCGUGCCUUUUGUAGAAUGAACCGGCGAGUUACGAUCCCGUGCGAGGUUAAGCUGAAGAGGCGGAGCCGCAGCGAAAGCGAGUCUGUAUAGGGCGUUUAGUACGUGGUCGUAGACCCGAAACCAGGUGAUCUACCCAUGUCCAGGGUGAAGUUCAGGUAACACUGAAUUGGAGGCCCGAACCCACGCACGUUGAAAAGUGCGGGGAUGAGGUGUGGGUAGCGGAGAAAUUCCAAUCGAACCUGGAGAUAGCUGGUUCUCCCCGAAAUAGCUUUAGGGCUAGCCUUAAGUGUAAGAGUCUUGGAGGUAGAGCACUGAUUGGACUAGGGGUCCUCAUCGGAUUACCGAAUUCAGUCAAACUCCGAAUGCCAAUGACUUAUCCUUAGGAGUCAGACUGCGAGUGAUAAGAUCCGUAGUCAAAGGGAACAGCCCAGACCGCCAGCUAAGGUCCCAAAGUGUGUAUUAAGUGGAAAAGGAUGUGGAGUUGCUUAGACAACUAGGAUGUUGGCUUAGAAGCAGCCACCAUUUAAAGAGUGCGUAAUAGCUCACUAGUCGAGUGACUCUGCGCCGAAAAUGUACCGGGGCUAAAUACACCACCGAAGCUGCGGAUUGAUACCAAUGGUAUCAGUGGUAGGGGAGCGUUCUAAGGACAGUGAAGUCAGACCGGAAGGACUGGUGGAGUGCUUAGAAGUGAGAAUGCCGGUAUGAGUAGCGAAAGACGGGUGAGAAUCCCGUCCACCGAAUGCCUAAGGUUUCCUGAGGAAGGCUCGUCCGCUCAGGGUUAGUCAGGACCUAAGCCGAGGCCGACAGGCGUAGGCGAUGGACAACAGGUUGAUAUUCCUGUACCACCUCUUUAUCGUUUGAGCAAUGGAGGGACGCAGAAGGAUAGAAGAAGCGUGCGAUUGGUUGUGCACGUCCAAGCAGUUAGGCUGAUAAGUAGGCAAAUCCGCUUAUCGUGAAGGCUGAGCUGUGAUGGGGAAGCUCCUUAUGGAGCGAAGUCUUUGAUUCCCCGCUGCCAAGAAAAGCUUCUAGCGAGAUAAAAGGUGCCUGUACCGCAAACCGACACAGGUAGGCGAGGAGAGAAUCCUAAGGUGUGCGAGAGAACUCUGGUUAAGGAACUCGGCAAAAUGACCCCGUAACUUCGGGAGAAGGGGUGCUUUCUUAACGGAAAGCCGCAGUGAAUAGGCCCAAGCGACUGUUUAGCAAAAACACAGCUCUCUGCGAAGCCGUAAGGCGAAGUAUAGGGGGUGACACCUGCCCGGUGCUGGAAGGUUAAGGAGAGGGGUUAGCGUAAGCGAAGCUCUGAACUGAAGCCCCAGUAAACGGCGGCCGUAACUAUAACGGUCCUAAGGUAGCGAAAUUCCUUGUCGGGUAAGUUCCGACCCGCACGAAAGGUGUAACGAUUUGGGCACUGUCUCAACCAGAGACUCGGUGAAAUUAUAGUACCUGUGAAGAUGCAGGUUACCCGCGACAGGACGGAAAGACCCCGUGGAGCUUUACUGUAGCCUGAUAUUGAAUUUUGGUACAGUUUGUACAGGAUAGGCGGGAGCCUUUGAAACCGGAGCGCUAGCUUCGGUGGAGGCGCUGGUGGGAUACCGCCCUGACUGUAUUGAAAUUCUAACCUACGGGUCUUAUCGACCCGGGAGACAGUGUCAGGUGGGCAGUUUGACUGGGGCGUCGCCUCCUAAAGUGUAACGGAGGCGCCCAAAGGUUCCCUCAGAAUGGUUGGAAAUCAUUCGUAGAGUGCAAAGGCAUAAGGGAGCUUGACUGCGAGACCUACAAGUCGAGCAGGGACGAAAGUCGGGCUUAGUGAUCCGGUGGUUCCGCAUGGAAGGGCCAUCGCUCAACGGAUAAAAGCUACCCCGGGGAUAACAGGCUUAUCUCCCCCAAGAGUCCACAUCGACGGGGAGGUUUGGCACCUCGAUGUCGGCUCAUCGCAUCCUGGGGCUGUAGUCGGUCCCAAGGGUUGGGCUGUUCGCCCAUUAAAGCGGUACGCGAGCUGGGUUCAGAACGUCGUGAGACAGUUCGGUCCCUAUCCGUCGUGGGCGUAGGAAAUUUGAGAGGAGCUGUCCUUAGUACGAGAGGACCGGGAUGGACGCACCGCUGGUGUACCAGUUGUUCUGCCAAGGGCAUAGCUGGGUAGCUAUGUGCGGAAGGGAUAAGUGCUGAAAGCAUCUAAGCAUGAAGCCCCCCUCAAGAUGAGAUUUCCCAUAGCGUAAGCUAGUAAGAUCCCUGAAAGAUGAUCAGGUUGAUAGGUUCGAGGUGGAAGCAUGGUGACAUGUGGAGCUGACGAAUACUAAUAGAUCGAGGACUUAACCA
rnacentral:rRNA from 1 species